rnacentral:rRNA from 1 species
CCCUUAGACGUUCUGGGCCGCACGCGCGCUACACUGACGGAGCCAGCGAGCUUUUCCUUAACCGAGAGGUUUGGGUAAUCUUGUGAAACUCCGUCGUGCUGGGGAUAGAGCAUUGUAAUUAUUGCUCUUCAACGAGGAAUUCCUAGUAAGCGCAAGUCAUCAGCUUGCGUUGAUUACGUCCCUGCCCUUUGUACACACCGCCCGUCGCACCUACCGAUUGAAUGACUCGGUGAAAAAUUGGGACCGUGAGUCUGUUUGCUUCAUUGCGAGUGGAUUGAUGGGAACUUUUUUAAACCUCGCCAUUUAGAGGAAGGUGAAGUCGUAACA